GAUGAACGCUGGCGGCGUGCCUAAUACAUGCAAGUCGAGCGAACAGACGAGGAGCUUGCUCCUCUGACAUUAGCGGCGGACGGGUGAGUAACACGUGGAUAACCUACCUAUAAGACUGGGAUAACUUCGGGAAACCGGAGCUAAUACCGGAUAAUAUAUUGAACCGCAUGGUUCAAUAGUGAAAGACGGUUUUGCUGUCACUUAUAGAUGGAUCCGCGCCGCAUUAGCUAGUUGGUAAGGUAACGGCUUACCAAGGCAACGAUGCGUAGCCGACCUGAGAGGGUGAUCGGCCACACUGGAACUGAGACACGGUCCAGACUCCUACGGGAGGCAGCAGUAGGGAAUCUUCCACAAUGGGCGAAAGCCUGACGGAGCAACGCCGCGUGAGUGAUGAAGGUCUUCGGAUCGUAAAACUCUGUUAUUAGGGAAGAACAAAUGUGUAAGUAACUAUGCACGUCUUGACGGUACCUAAUCAGAAAGCCACGGCUAACUACGUG
rnacentral:rRNA from 1 species